CCUACGGGUGGCAGCAGUGGGGGAUAUUGCACAAUGGGGGGAACCCUGAUGCAGCGACGCAGCGUGGGUGAAGAAGCGCCUCGGCGCGUAAAGCCCUGUCAGCAGGGAAGAAAAUGACGGUACCUGAAGAAGAAGCCCCGGCUAACUACGGGCCAGCAGCCGCGGUAAUACGUAGGGGGCAAGCGUUAUCCGGAUUUACUGGGUGGAAAGGGGGCGCAGCCGGCGAUGCAAGCCAGGAGUGAAAGCCCGGGGCCCAACCCCGGGACUGCUCUUGGAACUGCGUGGCUGGAGUGCAGGAGGGGCAGGCGGAAUUCCUGGUGUAGCGGUGAAAUGCGUAGAUAUCAGGAGGAACACCGGUGGCGAAGGCGGCCUGCUGGACUGCAACUGACGUUGAGGCCCGAAAGCGUGGGGAGCAAACAGGAUUAGAUACCCUUGUAGUC
rnacentral:rRNA from 1 species